GCCCGGGUGGUGGAACGGCAGACACUGGGGUCUUAAACACCCUUGCCGCAAGGCGUGCGGGUUCGAGUCCCGCCCCGGGCA
rnacentral:tRNA from 1 species